GACGAACGCUGGCGGCGUGCUUAACACAUGCAAGUCGAACGGUAAGGCCCUUCGGGGUACACGAGUGGCGAACGGGUGAGUAACACGUGGGUGAUCUGCCCUGCACUUCGGGAUAAGCCUGGGAAACUGGGUCUAAUACCGGAUAGGACCACUGCCUGCAUGGGUGGUGGUGGAAAGCUUUUGCGGUGUGGGAUGGGCCCGCGGCCUAUCAGCUUGUUGGUGGGGUGAUGGCCUACCAAGGCGACGACGGGUAGCCGGCCUGAGAGGGUGACCGGCCACAAUGGGACUGAGAGACGGCCCAGAGUCCUACGGGAGGCAGCAGUGGGGAAUGUUGCACAAUGGGCGCAAGCCUGAUGCAGCGACGCCGCGUGAGGGAUGACGGCCUUCGGGUUGUAAACCUCUUUCAGUAGGGACGAAGCGCAAGUGACGGUACCUACAGAAGAAGGACCGGCCAACUACGUGCCAGCCGCCGCAGUAA
rnacentral:rRNA from 1 species